CUCUGCAAGUUACUUCUCCUUCUCCUCUGAUUUCCUCUCGGUCCAGUGGCUAGAAUAGCAAGAAGAGAGCUAUUAAACUCUCUCUUCUUCUUUAGGAAAACAUAAAAUCCAACCCUUUUUCAUUUUUGUUUCGGUUCAGCAAGAAGAGAAAGAAAACAGAAUCUCUCCCUCUCUUUGUUUGUUACGGUACUCUGUUUUAACUUUUACCUUUCUCUUAGUCUAGCUCGCGGACAGCACCUGUAGAAUAAGAAACAAAACUCAGAAAAUUCUUUAAGAAAAACACUCUCCAUCUCUCUCUGUUUCUCUAUAGUUUACAGCAGCACCAUUCCUAUUUACUGCAGAAAUACAGUAAAGAAAAGAGAACCUGAAAAAUAUCUCAGAAUCUCUCUUGCUCUCUCUCCUUCUUCUCGGUUCUUCAUAGUAGCAAAAGACCAGAAAAUUAGUAGCAUCUCUUCUUUUAAAAGCUGCAGGAAGUCCUCUCAAACCUCUCUUUCCCCCCCCACGGCUUUCAACAGAAAAAUAGUGGGAAGCAGCAAAACCUCCAAAGCUUUCUCUUCUCUUUUUUGUAACAAAAUCAGCAAAGAAACUCAUUUGGUUCUCUCCCAAAACAGCAAGCUCUUCCUCUCUUUCUCUCGGUGGACAGCAGAAAAUAGACUCUCUUGUCUGCUCUCAUCUUCCGGGCCAGCCGCUCAACAAACAGCAAUUAAAAGGAAAAGAACAACAAAAAGCCUUUUCUACCUUUUACAAAAUAUACUACUUUAAUUUUGGUAGAAGGUAGCUAAAAUACUGCUCAGAAGAUAUCAGAUGACACUGUAAACCGGAGUAUUUUCUUUAUGGAUGGCAUAGACCCCACCCUAAGAGCAAUAGAUCGAUAAAGACCGGUCUAACUUUUGUAUUGUACAUAUUUAUUUUGAAUUCCUAGAAAAAUGAUGUAAUAAUUAAAGAACUACUAUGUAUAUAUUCUUAUAAUGAAAUAUAGCCAUGUGUUAUUCCUGGGAAAA